UACGGGAGGCAGCAGUGGGGGAUAUUGCACAAUGGAGGAAACUCUGAUGCAGCGACGCCGCGUGAGUGAAGAAGUAUUUCGGUAUGUAAAGCUCUAUCAGCAGGGAAGAAAGGCUCGUAAGAGAGAUGACGGUACCUGACUAAGAAGCCCCGGCUAACUACGUGCCAGCAGCCGCGGUAAUAAGGGC
rnacentral:rRNA from 1 species